UCCAUGUGUAGCGGUGAAAUGCGUAGAUAUAUGGAGGAACACCAGUGGCGAAAGCGGCUCUCUGGUCUGUCACUGACGCUGAGGCUCGAAAGCGUGGGUAGCGAACAGGAUUAGAUACCCUGGUAGUNCACGCCGUAAACGAUGAGUGCUAGGUGUUAGGCCCUUUCCGGGGCUUAGUGCCGGAGCUAACGCAAUAAGCACUCCGCCUGGGGAGUACGACCGCAAGGUUGAAACUCNAAGGAAUUGACGGGGGCCCGCACAAGCGGUGGAGCAUGUGGGUUAAUUCGAAGCAACGCGAAGAACCUUACCAGGUCUUGACAUCCCGAUGCUAUUCUUAGAGAUAGGAAGUUACUUCGGUACAUCGGAGACAGGUGGUGCAUGGUUGUCGUCAGCUCGUGUCGUGAGAUGUUGGGUUAAGUCCCGCAACGAGCGCAACCCUUAUUGUUAGUUGCCAUCAUUAAGUUGGGCACUCUAGCGAGACUGCCGGUAAUAAACCGGAGGAAGGUGGGGAUGACGUCAAAUCAUCAUGCCCCUUAUGACCUGGGCUACACACGUGCUACAAUGGUCGGUACAACGAGUUGCGAGCCGGUGACGGCAAGCUAAUCUCUGAAAGCCGAUCUCAGUUCGGAUUGGAGGCUGCAACUCGCCUCCAUGAAGUCGGAAUCGCUGGUAAUCGCGGAUCAGCACGCCGCGGUGAAUACGUUCCCGGGCCUUGUACACACCGCCCGUCACACCACGAGAGUUUGUAACACCCGAAGUCGGUGAGGUANCCUUUUAGGG
rnacentral:rRNA from 1 species